AGCUUUGUGCAGUCGCAGUAUCGCAGCCAAUGAGGGUUAUCCAAGGCGUGAUUAUUGCUAAUUGAAAACUUUUCCCAAUGCCCUACCGUGACGACUUGCUAUAUAGUUGGCCCUGGCAAUUUUUGAUGGUCUCUAUGGAGA